GCCAAAAACUUGAACAAUAGGUGUUGGUCUCUUACGGGAGCUUAAAUGCAGAAUCUAUGAUUUGAAACUUAUUCAUUAUAUCAUAAUAAUGCCAUUGUAAUGGCAUUAUGGCAAUUCAUGGCAAAUUUAAUCUAAAAGUAGUCAAAAAUUACACUGCCUACUUGGAACAACUUCAUUAGAAUUUGAAAGCUCCUAUUCAUAGCCUGGCACUACCUAUAUGUCUGUUCAUUCAAAAGGAUCCCUAUAUCCUUUUGAAAAUUGAGUGAGGUGUAGAGUUGACUGAACACAUGUCUUACUACUAUUACUAUCACUGUAAAUCAGCAAUAAAAUCUAAAGUCAUGGUAAAUUAUCAAAUGUCACAUUAUUUUCAAUCCUUAGAUUUAGCUUAUUCCAUCUAUAAUUUUUUUAAUCAGCUUCCUCUUUUUGUUUUAGUCAACUCUGGCCAAAUUCCCUCCCGCAUUCAGAUAAAGCUGCCAUGGUCAAAGGCUGACAAGCAUGCCAAAGGGGUUAAUCUGUCGCUAUGGGCCAAUCCCCUAAACCCUAAGUUGUGCCCUGUUAUGGCACUCAUUUCGUGGCUGCUGUUUUCUGGAAUCACGAAGGGUUACAUCUUCCCUCGCAUUGCCAAAGACAACCGAC